CGCAUCCAAAUAUGCAAAUCCCGCUUACUACAUAGUCCGCCCUGCUGCAGUCGGAGUAAUUCCCCCCAGCCGGGUCUUGGGUGUUUGAUUGCGGGUUUUGAAAGCCGACACAACCUUGUUUGUUUUUUUACCAAAGAGGCUUCGUUUGUGUGACCGGGGAAGGAGCGGAGACACGAAGAGAAGGGGAACCGAGGCUCCUGCGUGGAAAGCCGCCCAUGCGUAAUGAGACGACCCGCUCCUCCAUUCUCAAUUCUCGGACGCCGUUGGCUCUGGUGUGCGUAUUAUUUUCAAUAUUGAUGCAUAUUCAGUGGAGAGAUUUGCAUUCAGUGUUUAUUUUCCCAUGUUUCAUCAUAUUUGUACGUGUAAAGACCGAUUUCGUGUGAUAUAGCGAUGACAUUUAUUGCGUAAUAUUUCAGAUUUGAAAUUCAUAUCGAAGCCUGAUGUAACAGUCAAUACAUAGACUCGAAACCGGUUGUAUUUUCCUAUCAAUAAGUCAUAUUUUCUCGAACCUGUAAGAUGCAAAUUCGGCGGAAGCCUUUUGAAUACUCAAAUUCAGCAUGCAUGAACAAAGAGCUGUGUGCGGGGCAAACAAUAGAGGAGAUGCAGAGGUAAAUCUUGGGGGGGAAGGUGAGACUUGCACAUCGAGGUUUAGGAAAGGGGGGAAUGACACGGGCAGGUUGUUGCAGAAAGUAAUCAUAAAAAAAGUCUCCUGCCCAGUUUGCAAAAAUGCAGUGACGCAGCGCUGACAUUUAGGCUACAAUUGCUCAGAGCUGUCUCCCUCGGUGUCCGUGCACGCGCGCAGUGAUGCCAGGAACGAGCGCGCGCAUGCAAGUGCAAGUGCAAAUGCAAGAAAUGUAUAUCCAAAGUCAUAACAUGAUUAAAACAGAUCUCAAUUUCACCUGAAUAUCUUUUUACGCAUACGAUUUCUCCUUCUCCAAAUGUCACUUAUCAUAUCUCAAUAUCUGAUAAAGCGCGUGCCCCUAAUCAAACCUUUUUUGACUUACCUCCAAACACAAUCCAAAGGUGCUGCUUCUGCUUCUGCUCCUUCUGCUGCUGCUGCUCUAACUCUGCGCUUUUACACGCGACGUUUCUGUCAAGUUGUUGGGACGUUUUUUUUUUCUUGUUCUUUCCAGCAGAGAAAACUUUGUGCUAUCAGCCUGAGCAUGAUGCAGUCCCCCAUAGGCUACUCCCCUCGCCAUUGAACCCUGCUCUCAAUCUGCUCGUGGCUCAACACUAGUGGUCAGGCUGGAUCACGUAAACACAUUCAAAAAGCCACAGGAGUCCGUCACCACACCUAUGUUGGAAUAAAACGAAGCAUUACGGUACUUCUCUCUUAGUAAGUUUACAAAACGGGAUCUUUAAUAUUUCCCCCUCAUCAUCAUCAUCAUCAUCCUCUGAGGUGUUACUCUCGUUUUCAUCAUCACCUCCCAAAAUCUGAAGGACACACACACAAACAAACACACACACACUUCUAUUUACUUUCAAAGACGAAAAUAACCGAGAUGGUGCAUAUUUGGCUGUGGAUAAUAUCAGGACCAAAAAAGCGCAAUUUGUUGUUCCAUCCUGCUUUUAAUGAUGAGAGUGUUGUUUUCAGAGGAAAAGGAGGUGUGCACGUGUGGCCUCUUUCUUUGUAAAUUUGUGUAACUCGAUUAUAAAAUAAGAACAACUCAUUUGGAAAUGAAAGCCCUCAGUCUUUUUGCGAGAAUCAACCAUAAAACUCUAAAGUGUAGAGAUUUCAUAGAGGUCGGCGAGGAGAGCUCCGCUGUUGUUGACUGACUCUUAUUUCUAUGAAGUAAUUUAUGGACUUA